CCUGCUUCAACCGUACUAGGGUACCCAUAUAGACUACAAUGGACCCCCAUUUAUACUAAGACUAAAUACUGCUGUCAACUUUAAUAUUUUUAACAUCUACUACCUAAAUUAUGCUGUAUUAAAUAAACUAAAUAAUACUAUUUAAUACUCUUAAACUAGCUUAUUGAGUGAACAACAUAGUGCUGCAGUUGUUUACUCUGUGUGUAAGGAUCUUUGUGUCGCUACCUACUACUGACUAAAAGAUUAUUAUGAGAGGUGAAAGAGUGUAUGUGAUGUGAUGUAUGUAUAGAAUGGAAGUGUAGUAAGUUUAGUUGUUAUGCAUAGUUGGUGUGUAGGACUGCAAUUAAGUAUUUUAUCUUGCAGUGAGUUUAGUAGUUAGUUCAGUCGGAUUUUGCUCUAGUAGGCAAAAUUCUACGCUUUUUGGCGG
rnacentral:misc_RNA from 1 species